rnacentral:rRNA from 1 species
GACGUAGGGCGCGAGCGUUGUCCGGAUUUAUUGGGCGUAAAGAGCUCGUAGGCGGCUUGUUGCGUCGACUGUGAAAACCCGCGGCUUAACUGCGGGCUUGCAGUUGAUACGGGCAGGCUAGAGUUCGGUAGGGGAGACUGGAAUUCCUGGUGUAGCGGUGAAAUGCGCAGAGUAUCAGGAGGAACACCAAUGGCGAAGGCAGCACUCUGGGACGUGACUGACGCUGAGACGCGAAAGCGUGG